rnacentral:rRNA from 1 species
AUCGAACGCUGGCGGCAUGCCUAACACAUGCAAGUCGAACGAGAGGCGGACGGGUGGAUAAUGUAGGGGAACCUGGGUGACGUAGGGGGAUAACUACUGGAAAAGUUAGCUACUACUGCUAACCACCAGAUGUGCUCAGAUGGGAUUAGCUUGUUGGUGGGGUAACGGCUCACCAAGGCGACGAGCCCUAGCUGGUCUGCGAGGAUGACCGGCCACACUGGAACUGAGACACGGUCCAGACUCCUACGGGAGGCAGCAGUGGGGAAUAUUGGACAAUGGGCGCAAGCCUGAUGCAGCCACGCCGCGUGUGUGAAGAAGGCCGUCGGGUUGUAAAGUACUUUCAGCGGGGAAGCGGUACCUGCACAGAAAGCACCGGCUAACUCCGUGCCAGCAGCCGCGGUAAUUC